GGUUAAGCGACUAAGCGUACACGGUGGAUGCCCUGGCAGUCAGAGGCGAUGAAGGACGUGCUAAUCUGCGAUAAGCGUCGGUGAGGUGAUAUGAACCGUUAUAACCGGCGAUUUCCGAAUGGGGAAACCCAGUGUGUUUCGACACACUAUCAUUAACUGAAUCCAUAGGUUAAUGAGGCGAACCGGGGGAACUGAAACAUCUAAGUACCCCGAGGAAAAGAAAUCAACCGAGAUUCCCCCAGUAGCGGCGAGCGAACGGGGAGGAGCCCAGAGCCUGAAUCAGUGUGUGUGUUAGUGGAAGCGUCUGGAAAGGCGUGCGAUACAGGGUGACAGCCCCGUACACAAAAAUGCACAUAUUGUGAGCUCGAUGAGUAGGGCGGGACACGUGGUAUCCUGUCUGAAUAUGGGGGGACCAUCCUCCAAGGCUAAAUACUCCUGACUGACCGAUAGUGAACCAGUACCGUGAGGGAAAGGCGAAAAGAACCCCGGCGAGGGGAGUGAAAAAGAACCUGAAACCGUGUACGUACAAGCAGUGGGAGCCUCUUAAUGGGGUGACUGCGUACCUUUUGUAUAAUGGGUCAGCGACUUAUAUUCUGUAGCAAGGUUAACCGAAUAGGGGAGCCGAAGGGAAACCGAGUCUUAACUGGGCGUUAAGUUGCAGGGUAUAGACCCGAAACCCGGUGAUCUAGCCAUGGGCAGGUUGAAGGUUGGGUAACACUAACUGGAGGACCGAACCGACUAAUGUUGAAAAAUUAGCGGAUGACUUGUGGCUGGGGGUGAAAGGCCAAUCAAACCGGGAGAUAGCUGGUUCUCCCCGAAAGCUAUUUAGGUAGCGCCUCGUGAAUUCAUCUCCGGGGGUAGAGCACUGUUUCGGCAAGGGGGUCAUCCCGACUUACCAACCCGAUGCAAACUGCGAAUACCGGAGAAUGUUAUCACGGGAGACACACGGCGGGUGCUAACGUCCGUCGUGAAGAGGGAAACAACCCAGACCGCCAGCUAAGGUCCCAAAGUCAUGGUUAAGUGGGAAACGAUGUGGGAAGGCCCAGACAGCCAGGAUGUUGGCUUAGAAGCAGCCAUCAUUUAAAGAAAGCGUAAUAGCUCACUGGUCGAGUCGGCCUGCG
rnacentral:rRNA from 1 species